UGGCUACACUGAAGAUGGAGUGGCGGCUGCUAAUGUCAGAGACCUUCGAAAGAAAGAUGCCAAAGCCUUGUUUUUCAUCCAACAAGCUAUAGAUGAGGCGAUUUUCCCUUGCAUUGCUGCUGCAACAAAGACUAAAGAAGCUUGGGAUGCAUUGCAAAAAGUCUACGAAGGUACUGGACAAGUGGUAACUGUUAAACUUCAAA
rnacentral:misc_RNA from 1 species